UACGUAGGGUGCAAGCGUUAAUCGGAAUUACUGGGCGUAAAGCGUGCGCAGGCGGUUUAUGUAAGACAGAUGUGAAAUGCCCGGGCUUAACCUGGGAACUGCAUUUGUGACUGCAUGGCUAGAGUUUGGCAGAGGGGGGGUAGAAUUCCACGUGUAGCAGUGAAAUGCGUAGAUAUGUGGAGGAACACCGAUGGCGAAAGGCAGCCCCCUGGGGUCAAGACUGACG
rnacentral:rRNA from 1 species